rnacentral:ncRNA from 2 species
CUCUUAUCCAGAGUGGUGGAGGGAACGGCCCAAGGAAACCCGGCAACCGAUCCGCGCCGCAGUGGUUUGCUCAAAGCCGGACACGGUGCCAAGUCCGACCCUUCGGUUCAGCCGGAGGGAAAGAUGAGAG